CCAAGGCUUGACAUACACCGGAAAGCAUUAGAGAUAGUGCCCCCCUUGUGGUCGGUAUACAGGUGGUGCAUGGCUGUCGUCAGCUCGUGUCGUGAGAUGUUGGGUUAAGUCCCGCAACGAGCGCAACCCUCGUUCUAUGUUGCCAGCACGUAAUGGUGGGAACUCAUAGGAGACUGCCGGGGUCAACUCGGAGGAAGGUGGGGAUGACGUCAAAUCAUCAUGCCCCUUAUGUCUUGGGCUUCACGCAUGCUACAAUGGCCGGUACAAAGGGCUGCAAUACCGUAAGGUGGAGCGAAUCCCAAAAAGCCGGUCUCAGUUCGGAUUGAGGUCUGCAACUCGACCUCAUGAAGUCGGAGUCGCUAGUAAUCGCAGAUCAGCAACGCUGCGGUGAAUACGUUCCCGGGCCUUGUACACACCGAAGGGC
rnacentral:rRNA from 1 species